rnacentral:sRNA from 1 species
UGGCCAAGUUCUGGACAUGUGACCAAAUAGAACACAGAUCAGGAGUCACAGUUGGUGUGAGGUAGCUGAGACAGUUGGUAUCUGGCCUGCUAUAAUUGAGGUUGAGAUUUCACUCCAGGACUCCAGUGGCAGAGACAGUGCUCUGAGGCAGCCUGUGAGACCAUGAUUGGAGAAGAGGCCCCUGUCUACUCCCCAAUACUCAGGCUUCCUCCAGUGGCUGGAAUUUACCUACUAGCUCUACGCUCUGUCAGCUUACAGCAGCACCAGCCAUGAUGUCAUGGUCAAAGUGGUCAAGCACAGCACCCUAUGCCAGCUCCUGACUUUGUAUUUGCAACAUGUCCUGGAUCUGUGACCACCAGCAGCAGAUGGUGCAAUGAACUUCCUGAACAAGAUGUGAAAGUGUUUCCCGCUGAGCCUUGAGAGGUGAACAUACAUCGCGCCUGUCAUCUGGAUGGAACAACUUGAGGAAGGGCCGUCCAUAUUCCUGCUCCCUAACCAGGACACUGCUAAGGUGAAUAUGAGGAGAGCACGAGAAUCCACCUUGCUACAUGUUAAAGAAGAGAGACAACUGGAGCCUUCCCCUUACACUCGUGCACUCCAUCUAGCAGGCUUCAAAAGCCUAAUCUGUGAUUCUAGACACCGGGAAGGAGGAGACUGAGGGGUGAAGGCUGGCCUGGCCUGCGUGUUCUGCCAGGGCAGUGACCUGCAAAUGAUGUUCCGCUGACGAGAUUGUUGUGUAGUAACUGGGGAAGUCUAAGAGGCUUUUCAAAAGUAAACAGCAUAUGCAUCUGGAGCAUGCUGGGAACAUAA